rnacentral:rRNA from 1 species
AGGAAUAUUGGUCAAUGGACGAGAGUCUGAACCAGCCAAGUAGCGUGAAGGAUGACUGCCCUAUGGGUUGUAAACUUCUUUUAUACGGGAAUAAAGUGGUCCACGUGUGGAUUUUUGUAUGUACCGUAUGAAUAAGGAUCGGCUAACUCCGUGCCAGCAGCCGCGGUAAUACGGAGGAUCCGAGCGUUAUCCGGAUUUAUUGGGUUUAAAGGGAGCGUAGGUGGACAGUUAAGUCAGUUGUGAAAGUUUGCGGCUCAACCGUAAAAUUGCAGUUGAUACUGGCUGUCUUGAGUACAGUAGAGGUGGGCGGAAUUCGUGGUGUAGCGGUGAAAUGCUUAGAUAUCACGAAGAACUCCGAUUGCGAAGGCAGCUCACUGGACUGCAACUGACACUGAUGCUCGAAAGUGUGGGUAUCAAACAGGAUUAGAUACCCUGGUAGUCCACACAGUAAACGAUGAAUACUCGCUGUUUGCGAUAUACAGUAAGCGGCCAAGCGAAAGCGUUAAGUAUUCCACCUGGGGAGUACGCCGGCAACGGUGAAACUCAAAGGAAUUGACGGGGGCCCGCACAAGCGGAGGAACAUGUGGUUUAAUUCGAUGAUACGCGAGGAACCUUACCCGGGCUUAAAUUGCAUUUGAAUAAUCAAGAAAUUGGUUAGUCGUAAGACAAAUGUGAAGGUGCUGCAUGGUUGUCGUCAGCUCGUGCCGUGAGGUGUCGGCUUAAGUGCCAUAACGAGCGCAACCCUUAUCUUCAGUUACUAACAGGUCAUGCUGAGGACUCUGGAGAGACUGCCGUCGUAAGAUGUGAGGAAGGUGGGGAUGACGUCAAAUCAGCACGGCCCUUACGUCCGGGGCUACACACGUGUUACAAUGGGGGGUACAGAAGGCAGCUACACGGCGACGUGAUGCCAAUCCCAAAAACCUCUCUCAGUUCGGAUCGAAGUCUGCAACCCGACUUCGUGAAGCUGGAUUCGCUAGUAAUCGCGCAUCAGCCAUGGCGCGGUGAAUACGUUCCCG